rnacentral:misc_RNA from 1 species
CACUUGUGAAUUCAUGAAAAUAAUGUCGAGAUAUGUUGUUUUCUUGGUCUUAGGACGGAAGAGUCUGCAAGGACAACAAUAAUCGAUUUUAAGGCCAAUUAGUCCAGGAAUCCAAACUUAACCAUGGUUAACCAAACCAUGCACAAAACAAAUAAUUGGAUUGACGUUUUUGAAAAGAUAAUUAAAAUUUCAGCAUCAACUCUCACUUCGAGAGCCUGCGAACAGAAAGAUUAUCCGGCCGAUUUCCUUUGUCAACCCGAAUACAAAAUAAUGCUACAAAGAACGUGGUCGCAUAUCGACCUCUGUUUCCAAAAUAUCUCUACUAGCGCCAAAAGAAACGAUUGACGCUCCAGAACAUACAAUUUAAAAGAGAGCAUUCGUUUCCGCUGAAAAUAGGAGAGCAUUCCUUUCCACUGUUAAAUGACCUUACGUGUCUCGAAUCUUUCGUAACCAUCAGAUUGAUGUCAAAAUCUGAAAGUAAUGAAGAGGAGUUAAGAAUUUUAAUACCCGAUGGCAAAGCAAGAGCUGACUUAGUUGGCCAGUGGGAAAAAGCCGAACUUUCGUGAAUCAAAUGAAAGCAGUAUUCUUCUUAAAUCGUCUAGCCAAUAAUUUCACUUUCUUGAAUGGCUGGCUUUGUUUACGUUAUUUAUUCCAAAUGCAUUUAAUUGACUGGCCUUUUAUGACAAGUGGCCUGGCCUUCGAGCCGGAAUCUAUAUCCGCUUGUAAAUAAGUACCCAACUGUCACUUAAAGAAAUGGACAGCACACUAAGCCAGUAAAAUUAUCAGAUUCUGAGUUAAUAUUUAAACUGUGCUGUUUGUGUCAACUUGGCUGAAUCGGUGCAUGUUAUCGGAAUGAUAACAAAUUCCUUCUGAUUAACGCAUGAGUGCUUGAUUCUUGAUCAGUGCAUGCGGCGGUGAGUAAUAUGUAUCGUCUGUGGUUGAAUAGUGGAUUUUCUGUGCACGCCGAUAGACAGUAAUGCACAAUGCCAAUAUCCAACUAGGAGAAAUGGGAGCAAGCUUGAGUACACAUGGAGCAAUCACGUUACGA